rnacentral:sRNA from 1 species
GUAAAAGCAGCCGAAUCAAUUGAUCAGAAAAAUGAUUCACAGCUGGUAAUAGAAGCUUAUAAAUCAGGGUUUGAGCCUCCUGGAGACAUUGAAUUUGAGGAUUACACUCAGCCAAUGAAGCGCACUGUGUCAGAUAACAGCCUUUCAAAUUCCAGAGGAGAAGGCAAACCAGACCUCAAAUUUGGUGGCAAAUCCAAAGGAAAGUUAUGGCCGUUCAUCAAAAAAAAUAAGGGUGCAACACCGGAGGAUUUCAGCAACCUCCCACCUGAACAAAGAAGGAAAAAGCUGCAGCAGAAAGUCGAUGAGUUAAAUAAAGAAAUUCAGAAGGAGAUGGAUCAAAGAGAUGCCAUAACAAAAAUGAAAGAUGUCUACCUAAAGAAUCCUCAGAUGGGAGACCCAGCCAGUUUGGAUCACAAAUUAGCAGAAGUCAGCCAAAAUAUAGAGAAACUGCGACUAGAGACCCAGAAAUUUGAGGCCUGGCUGGCUGAGGUUGAAGGCCGGCUCCCAGCACGCAGUGAGCAGGCGCGCCGGCAGAGCGGACUGUACGACAGCCAGAACCCACCCACAGUCAACAACUGCGCCCAGGACCGCGAGAGCCCAGAUGGCAGUUACACAGAGGAGCAGACUCAGGAGAGUGAGGUGAAGGUGCUGGCCACGGAUUUUGACGACGAGUUUGAUGAUGAGGAGCCCCUCCCUGCCAUAGGGACGUGCAAAGCUCUCUACACAUUUG